GACGAACGCUGGCGGCGUGCUUAACACAUGCAAGUCGAACGAUGAACCGGGUGCUUGCACUUGGGGAUUAGUGGCGAACGGGUGAGUAACACGUGAGUAACCUGCCCUGGACUCUGGGAUAACCCCGAGAAAUCGGAGCUAAUACCGGAUAGGACCUUUCCUCGCAUGAGGUUUGGUGGAAAGUUUUUUCGGUUUGGGAUGGACUCGCGGCCUAUCAGCUUGUUGGUGAGGUAAUGGCUCACCAAGGCGUCGAUCCCUAGCUGGCUUGAGAGGAUGAGCAGCCACACUGGAACUGAGACACGGUCCAGACGCCUACGGGAGGCAGCAGUGGGGAAUAUUGGACAAUGGGCGCAAGCCUGAUCCAGCCAUGCCGCGUGUGUGAAGAAGGCCUUCGGGUUGUAAAGCACUUUCAGUAGGGAGGAAGCGUUGUGUGUUAAUAGUACACGGCGUUGACGUUACCUACAGAAGAAGCACCGGCUAACUCUGUGCCA
rnacentral:rRNA from 1 species